rnacentral:misc_RNA from 1 species
GAAAAAAUAUAACUAGUAAUAAACAAUCCACCAAACAAGUAUUUUCUUUAAAAAGCCCACUAGAAUCUGAAAUGACCAACUUAAAGCAUUAGGCAAACCAACACUUAAAACAACAAGGAAGUAAUAUCAAAAGACAAUCAAACAGAUCUAAAGAAAUAUAAGAGAUGUCAAUAUUACGCCCAAUGAAUUAUAGACAAGGCCCUGAGAUCCCCUGACAUCUAUAAUGAGUAAAAAUUUUGGGGGAAAAAAAGAAGAACAGGUGAAGAAUUCACAAUUGAAUUGCCGAAACUUACAACUUGAGGGCUGGUUUGAGAGCACCUUGCUAUCAAAAAGAAGAUGAUAGAAAGAUAAG